GAGCGUCUUUGUUUGUUCAGUAUUGUGUUGAGUCCCCAAGGGAACAUGGUGCUGUGUAAGCAAUAUUGGGAAGCACAUGGUUGUUGAGAUUUAGGAUUUGUUGGUUUCAGUUCGUUUCAAGUUUUACUCCUGAAUACUUUGAGAUUAGUUUGUCUGCUGAGAACAAUAUAGGGUUAGUAUAAAGUAUGGAGAUACAUCUAAAAUUAAGUCUGGACAUCAUAUUUUGUCUUUGCUAUGUCACCAGUACCAGGCGUUCAAGUUUUUCUUUUAGUUGCUGAAAUGAGCUAUUUUUGUUUUUUCUAAGGACGUGUCCAAUGCGGCGCUACUUGCCUAUCAUGAAUCGUGAGUUUUGUUGGCAUUGCUGGUUCAUGAAGAGUUUGACGCCACUCGACAUUUUCACCUCAAAAAAUAAAAAGAUUCUGACGCCGACCAAUUCUCCUACCGAGGAUACUCCUAUCGACAGUCGAUCGACAAUUUGAGGUAACUGAAUGAAAUGCAAAUAAACAGCUGACUUUGGUAUAAUUGAUUGCAUCCAUGAUCCACAUGUCAGAUGCCCUUAUACUUUCCCAUGCUUUAAUAUUGCCAUGCUCGUUCUCAAGCUAUGACUAUUGCAUGAAAAACUUAAGUAGAUGCUUGUUAUUCUUCGAUUAGGACAAUUUCGGAGGAGUUGGUCAUGACUUAGAAACAGAACUCCCCUGAGAAGGCAUCGCUAGGUACAAACCUUAUAGAAUAUGCAAGCAAGCAAUGACAUUACCUUUGCAUGCAUGUUUUCCUUCUGCUGCUAAUCUAACAAGCAACAAUAAUGUGUAUAGUAGGAUCUAUGGACAAUCACCUCCAUUGGCGCCAUGAAACCGAGAGCAGAAGAGUGACAUGAACCUGAGUGACCCUACCAAGGAUCGUGCUGCUGCACAUAAUCGCUCUAUUGCUCG
rnacentral:lncRNA from 1 species